rnacentral:rRNA from 1 species
UACGUAGGGUGCAAGCGUUGUCCGGAAUUAUUGGGCGUAAAGAGCUCGUAGGCGGUUUGUCGCGUCUGCUGUGAAAACCUAAGGCUCAACCUUGGGCUUGCAGUGGGUACGGGCAGACUAGAGGUAUGCAGGGGAGAACGAAUUCCUGGUGUAGCGGUGAAAUGCGCAGAUAUCAGGAGGAACACCGGUGGCGAAGGCGGUUCUCUGGGACGGUACUGACGCUGAGACGCGAAAGCGUGGGGAGCGAACAGG